UAUGAUGUGAUCCAAAACUCUUUUAUAAGAAUAAACAUACAUAAAAUAUUCAGUGUAGCAAUUAUACAGAACAUAAAUGUGGCAAAUGUUUUACAGGCAAGAAAUAUGACACACAGAUGCUGCAGAAGAGGCAACCAUCACUGAAAGCCACAUGAAAAGCAUGUUCAUCUUAAGGACAGCAGGACUUGGAUUGAGGAGUUGCCAGUUGAAAGUAUGAAAGAUGGAGGCAGCUAACUUAUUCAAGGUAACUAUGAAGCUGGAACUGUGUGUGUCCUUAAAACAUUAAUGUUCAAGGAGACUGACAUUCUGAUCAAGAGGCAGUGUGCAUAAGGGAUACUUGGCAGUUGGAUGCCAGGAACAGACCUGUGCAAGCUGUGUCAGACUGUGGCACAUUUGCAGCUGGUGAGCUGGACAAGUCAUGGAAGCGGCCACUCAUAAGCUGGGCUAGUGCCAAGUUUGACAUCUUCAAUGUAAAGCUAUAAAUACACCGCAGGUGUACAUUGGCUCUGUGUGCAGCCUAAAUAACAAUGUGAUUUGAGGUGA